GGAGGAUUCGCAUAGUGGCCUAGUGCGCACGCUUGGAAAGCGUGUUGGGUGAAUAGCCCUCGGGGGUUCGAAUCCCCCAUCCUCCGCCA
rnacentral:tRNA from 1 species